UAGUGGCGAACGGGUGAGUAACACGUGAGUAACCUGCCCUUGACUCUGGGAUAAGCCUGGGAAACUGGGUCUAAUACUGGAUAUGCACCGUGAACCGCAUGGUUUUUGGUGGAAAGAUUUAAAGGUCAAGGAUGGACUCGCGGCCUAUCAGCUUGUUGGUGAGGUAAUGGCUCACCAAGGCGACGACGGGUAGCCGGCCUGAGAGGGUGACCGGCCACACUGGGACUGAGACACGGCCCAGACUCCUACGGGAGGCAGCAGUGGGGAAUAUUGCACAAUGGGCGAAAGCCUGAUGCAGCGACGCCGCGUGAGGGAUGACCGCCUUCGGGUUGUAAACCUCUUUCAGUAGGGAAGAAUCAAAGUGACUGUACCUGCAGAAGAAGCGCCGGCUAACUACGUGCCAGCACCCGCGGUAAUACGUAGGGGGCAAGCGUUAUCCGGAAUUAUUUGGCGUUAAGAGCUCGUAGGCGGUUUGUCGCUUCUAUCGUGAAAUCCGAGGCUCAACCUCCGAUCUGCGGUGGGUACGGGGCAGACUAGAGAUUGGUAGAGGGUGGUGGGAAUUUCCAGGUGUAGCGGUGAAA
rnacentral:rRNA from 1 species